AUGGCGAUGUACUUCCCCUGCGCUGCCACGUUGUGUGCAGAGGAGAUCAUGCAGACGUAGAUAUCUGGGGCAGGAAGCACACAGCAGCAGAUCAGGACACGCCAUCUGAAGUGCAGCCUUGCUGGAGCCCAAAGGACUUCCAGACAUUGGUUUGCGUGCUUAAACACAUCAGGAAAAGUGCAAUUAAUACUCCAGCAUACAAAGGUGCCACUGCAAGGCUGCAGCAGCUUCCUGGAGUGGCACAGAGCUGCCACCAGGAGUUAAGGAACUGAGGGGUGCCCAGAAGCAGUGACACUGAACAAAGCCAGGGAGCAGAAAAGCAGAGCCAUGCGGGGAUUAAAAAGCUUCACGUGAGCACUGCACGGCCCAGGAGGAAGCCAGGAAGCUUCCUCUGGAGGGAACGCAAGUGAGAGGCACCUCUCCAGAAAAAGAGCACGAAAGCUGCCACAAGAUCUGCACAAAAUACUUCUUCCUUCCGGGGACAAACCCUGAACGCCGCUGCUCUCCACACACCUGAUUUCCGAUUGACCUGAUUCUGUGGAAUGAUGAUCUGGCACGAGUUGGCAUCGUUGGUGUUCUUGAUGGGGUGGCUCAGGAUGCAGAUUACCCGGAUCACUUGGCCAACCUUUGUGACACGGUCCGAGACGUAGCUGGGGUCGCAGAUGAGCUGUUUGCAGCGAGCAACCUGCAGAGAAAGGCAGCGACGUGUGGAGGCGCACGGCUGGGCGGCGUGCAGACUUUGGGGGAGGGAUGGCAGUCAUCUGAGGUGGCUGUCCUGCCCCCAGCUGCACGAGGAUUGUAUUUGGCUGCAUGUUCAGCACAAAUCACAGCCCCUACUACACAGAGCUGUGUGACCGAUCACAUCUCCCCCUCGUUAAUCAGCGUGUAAUUAAGCUCUUACCAAUUACAGAGCCCGGUCCUUCCAGUCUGGGACCGUAACGUGCUGUGGUCAAGGCUGAAUCAAACUGAUAAGAACUCACCAUUUCACAUUAUACCUCAUUACCACGGUAAUAGUUUCACAUUUUGACCAAUUUUGAAGCCUGCAGGCAGCCUGCACUUGGGCACAUCAGUCUUACAGCACAGAUUAUCACCUCUGCUGCUAGCUGGGAUACAUCACCCGUGCCCAGAAGGGACACGUUACCCUACCAGGGAGUGCUAAACUGUCCUGUGAUGCUCCCACUCCAUUUGCAAACACAUUUAUAGCUUCCAAGCAACUCGCUGCACUCUUGCUAGUUUUAUAUUGCUGAGUUAAGAAGCUGUGGAAAGGCCGUGUGCCAGCAGGCUGAGCAGCUAAUCCUUAAUGUCAAGGGCAGAGCUGGUUUCAUACCCAGGUUAGACAGCAGCGAGCAGCUUCUUUCCAGUUUUACCAGCCUGGUUUAUUUAGAAGACAACAUUGCUGCUCCCUGGAGAAUCAUUCCGGCUCCAGGAGUGGGAUUACUGUAUUGUUCUCCUCACAUUAAGAUUAUCAGCACUUCUUAAGCUCACGACGUGAAUAAACUGGCACCAGCCAAACAAUUUAGCUUCAA